rnacentral:misc_RNA from 1 species
GUGAAUCAUCAAAUUUUUGAACGCAAAUUGCACUCUUCUCGGUGAGUAUGCCCGUGUGAGGGUCAGCUUAUAAAAAAUCGACAUCGUUCCGGUUUCUCUGUGGCGUUUGUCGUAAGUUGGUUCAUCUUAAAUCUUGUGGGUUUAAGCGACUUAAAAUUUUCUAUUUGGUUCCAUGUACGUUUCUAAGAUUUAUUUCUUUACACGUUUAAGGUAUCGAUUUUUAUUAGACGUGACCAUCAUAUGGGAUAGCACCCAUAAUCUUUCUUUAACUGACCUCAGACAGUUAACA